AGCGAACGCUGGCGGCAGGCCUAAUACAUGCAAGUCGAGCGCACCUUCGGGUGAGCGGCGGACGGGUGAGUAACGCGUGGGAAUGUGCCCUUUGGUACGGAACAACUGAGGGAAACUUCAGCUAAUACCGUAUGUGCCCUUCGGGGAAAGGAUUUAUCGCCAUUGGAGCAGCCCGCGUUGGAUUAGGUAGUUGGUGAGGUAAAGGCUCACCAAGCCGACGAUCCAUAGCUGGUCUGAGAGGAUGAUCAGCCACACUGGGACUGAGACACGGCCCAGACUCCUACGGGAGGCAGCAGUAGGGAAUCUUGUCGCAAUGGGCGAAAGACCUGACGCAGCGACGCCG
rnacentral:rRNA from 1 species